AGCAGCCGCGGUAAUUCCAGCUCCAAUAGCGUAUAUUAAAGUUGCUGCAGUUAAAAGCUCGUAGUUGAAUUUCGGGAUCAUCAUGUCGGUCGUGCCUCGGUACGUACUGGCAUUGUUGGUUUCUACCUUCUGACGAACCAUGAUGUCAUUUAUUUGGUGUCGUGGGAAAUCAGGACUGUUACUUUGAAAAAUUGAGUGUUUAAAGCAGGCUCACGCUUGAAUACAUUAGCAUGGAAUAAUGAAAUAGGACGUUUGAUUCUAUUUUGUUGGUUUCUAGGAUCGACGUAAUGAUUAAUAGGGAUAGUUGGGGGCAUUAGUAUUCAAUUGUCAGAGGUGAAAUUCUUGGAUUUAUUGAAGACUAACUACUGCGAAAGCAUUUGCCAAGGNUGUUUUCAUUAAUCAAGAACGAAAGUUAGGGAUCGAAGACGAUCA
rnacentral:misc_RNA from 1 species